rnacentral:rRNA from 1 species
AGCAGCCGCGGUAAUUCCAGCUCCAAUAGCGUAUAUUAAAGUUGUUGCAGUUAAAAAGCUCGUAGUUGAAUUUCGGGAUCAAGUCGUCGGUCGUGCUCAGGUACGUACUGGCGUCAUUGAUUUCUCCCUUCUGACGAACCAUGAUGUCAUUAAUUUGGUGUUAUGGGAAAUCAGGACUGUUACUUUGAAAAAAUUAGAGUGUUUAAAGCAGGCUCACGCUUGAAUACAUUAGCAUGGAACAAUGAAAUAGGACGUUCGAUCCUAUUUUGUUGGUUUUAGGAUCAACGUAAUGAUUAAUAGGGAUAGUUGGGGGCAUUAGUAUUCAAUUGUCAGAGGUGAAAUUCUUGGAUUUAUUGAAGACUAACUACUGCGAAAGCAUUUGCCAAGGAUGUUUUCAUUAAUCAAGAACGAAAGUUAGGGGAUCGAAGACGAUCAGAUACCGUCGUAGUCUUAACCAUAAACUAUGCCGACUAGGGAUCGGAUGAUGUUAAUUUUUAAUGA